AAAUAUAUGAAGAACACAAAAGGCACGUGACCCUCCGUCUAAAAGAACAACGGCUUAUCAGGCUGUCCACGUGUUAAAGUGCUUCAAAUAAUAAUGCAAGUGGCAAGUGGCAACAGGCAACAGGCAACAGACACCCCAAGUCAUUGAGGGAAGAAGGUAAAGAAGAAAAAAAAGGAGCACACCAACGAAUGAGUUGUCUAAUUAGACUUUACCUUCAACAGUUGCAAGCUAAAUCGGAACGCAUAACAAACAAAGCAAACACAAAACCAGCGAGAUCGAAUAAUAAUCAUGGAGGGUGUGAGUGUGAAGAAUCCACUGUUCAGAAGUGAGUCAUCCAUUGGAUACAACUACUACUACCCGGAGCAGAGCUACACCAUGAUUGAGAAGAGACAGGUGUUCCUGAGAAGCUACCAGUUCUGCCGAAAGAAGAGUCUAGUGGAUAGAAUCAAAGGCUCUUUGUUCAGAGUCAAGAAAGUCGUUUGGUUACGGUUAAGGUCUGCUCGGAGGUUGAGGCUGCUCAUCUUCUCUAGGCUCAAACGCGCUUUCUAUUAUCGCCGGAGCCGCUUUUCCCGCCUCUUCAACGCCGCCCACUGCCACCACCAUAACGCAACUCAAACUUCCUCGUGUCUCUGGUAAACGUCUACAUGGAACUCACAUGGUUAAGUGGAUUUAGCCACCAUCAUAACUCAUAAGAUUCAAACACUACCUGUUUCUCAAUUAUUCACCUUUUUUUUUUCAAUUUAUUUAUUAGUAGAGACGUAACCUCAUACGUUAUAAUGUUUAAUAACUGCUCCCUGUUCUUGUCUUUUUCCCUGUUGGCGUUAGCAAUAGAAAUUGAUGUGUGUAAUUGUGUAGAACUAAAUUGGUCCUCGUUGUUGUUGCCAUGUAGCUUAGGAAAAUGUAUACAAAUACAAGACUACUACUAAUAUUAAAUUACUUAGUUUAAUA